rnacentral:rRNA from 1 species
AGUGAACGCUGGUGGUAGGCCUAACACAUGCAAGUCGAACGGCAGCACAGUAAGAGCUUGCUCUUACGGGUGGCGAGUGGCGGACGGGUGAGGAAUACAUCGGAAUCUACUUUUUCGUGGGGGAUAACGUAGGGAAACUUACGCUAAUACCGCAUACGACCUACGGGUGAAAGCGGGGGAUCUUCGGACCUUGCGCGAUUGAAUGAGCCGAUGUCGGAUUAGCUAGUUGGCGGGGUAAAGGCCCACCAAGGCGACGAUCCGUAGCUGGUCUGAGAGGAUGAUCAGCCACACUGGAACUGAGACACGGUCCAGACUCCUACGGGAGGCAGCAGUGGGGAAUAUUGGACAAUGGGCGCAAGCCUGAUCCAGCCAUACCGCGUGGGUGAAGAAGGCCUUCGGGUUGUAAAGCCCUUUUGUUGGGAAAGAAAAGCAGCAGGUUAAUACCCCGCUGUUCUGACGGUACCCAAAGAAUAAGCACCGGCUAACUUCGUG